ensembl:rRNA 5S_rRNA 5S ribosomal RNA
GUCUACGGCCAUACCACCCUGAACACGCCUGAUUCCGUCUGAUCUCGGGAGCUAAGCAGGGUCGGGCCUGGUUAGUACUUGGAUGAGAAACCACCUAGGAAUAACAGGUGCUGAAGACA